rnacentral:rRNA from 1 species
UACGUAGGGGGCAAGCGUUGUCCGGAUUUAUUGGGCGUAAAGAGCGUGUAGGCGGUUAUGCAGGUCCGCUGUGAAAACUGGAGGCUUAACCUCCAGACGUCGGUGGAAACCGUAUAACUAGAGUCCGGAAGAGGAGAGUGGAAUUCCUGGUGUAGCGGUGAAAUGCGCAGAUAUCAGGAAGAACACCCGUGGCGAAGGCGGUCU